rnacentral:lncRNA from 1 species
GUCAGUCGCACGAGUUACGAGCUCUAAAACGCACCAAAGUGGUAUGUAAAAAGGUAAAAGGACCAGAAAUCAACGAAACACCGUCGGCGAGUUGGCAACUCUGUUCGAUGUCCGUAAGGAUUUAAAAUCACCCAUUUUGAAUAUUUAGUGAAGUGUGAGCUCCGUCCAGAUGUAAUCGCAUCCCGUGCCAUUCGAUUAGCUGGCACCGACCGGGCCAGUGGGUGCUAAUCAGUCCGUCCAGCAGCUGUGGAUCCAUUUUCACCUCGUUGGGAGUGUGCUGCUGUUUUCCCGACUGCGACAACCAAUCUUGGGCCAAUUGAAUGGCCAAUGAGCCAUUUAGGCGAAUUAAGUUACUGAAGGUCUGCCAAAUCGGAGCAUAUGCCUUCGAUCGAAAGUAAUCCUCGGUGGGUGGAACCUCAUAGAGCGUGGCCGAGUGCUCCUUUGUCCGCUGACGUAUCACCUCCAGGCAUUCCGGCUGAGUGACAUGGGUAAAGACAUGCGAUCCGGUCUUGAUGAUGCCCGCCUUCUGCCAGGCAAUUUCCGGCAGUGUGCGUCCCAAGAGCUCCGUGUGCUCCAGUCCCAGCGAUGUGAUGCCCACCGUGCGUACAUUUCUUACGAUAUUCGUACAAUCGUGCUCACCACCGAUGCCCACUUCCAAAACGACCACAUCCACAUUCUCUGCGACGAAAACAUGAAAUCCCAAGAUGGUCAGGAACUUAAAGUAGGCGGGCAUGUCGUGAUCAUGUUCCCGCAGAUCCCACAGACGGUUGUAGACCUUCCAGAACUGCUCCGUGAACUUAUCCUUGGACAACAACUGGCCAUCGAUACGUAUCCGCUCGUUCGUGAAGAGGAUGUGGGGAGAACUGAAGAAUCCCGUGCGGAAACCUUGAUGGCGAAGCAGAGAUUCCGUCAAGGCGCAGGUGGAGCCCUAUAUGAAGACGUAUUCAUCAUCAUUAAUAACAAUAAAACUU